rnacentral:rRNA from 1 species
GACGAACGCUGGCGGCGUGCUUAACACAUGCAAGUCGAACGGUGAAGCCCUUCGGGGUGGAUCAGUGGCGAACGGGUGAGUAACACGUGAGCAACCUGCCCCUGGCUCUGGGACAACCACUGGAAACGGUGGCUAAUACCGGAUACGACCCGCCUCGGCAUCGAGUGUGGGUGGAAAGUUUUUCGGCUGGGGAUGGGCUCGCGGCCUAUCAGCUUGUUGGUGAGGUGAAGGCUCACCAAGGCGACGACGGGUAGCCGGCCUGAGAGGGCGACCGGCCACACUGGGACUGAGACACGGCCCAGACUCCUACGGGAGGCAGCAGUGGGGAAUAUUGCACAAUGGGCGAGAGCCUGAUGCAGCGACGCCGCGUGAGGGAUGACGGCCUUCGGGUUGUAAACCUCUUUCAGCUCCGAAGAAGCGAAAGUGACGGUAGGAGCAGAAGAAGCACCGGCUAACUACGUG